UACGGGGGGGGCAAGCGUUGUUCGGAAUUACUGGGCGUAAAGGGCUCGUAGGUGGCCAACUAAGUCAGACGUGAAAUCCCUCGGCUUAACCGGGGAACUGCGUCUGAUACUGGAUGGCUUGAGUUUGGGAGAGGGACGCGGAAUUCCAGGUGUAGCGGUGAAAUGCGUAGAUAUCAGGAGGAACACCGGUGGCGAAGGCGGCUAUCUGGACAGAGUCUGACGCUGAGGCGCGAAAGCUAGGGGAGCAAACAGG
rnacentral:rRNA from 1 species